GCCGGCGGGUAGCCCGGCUCGGGCCGGGUGGGCGGGUAGCCCGGCUCCGGUCGGGUGGCCGGGGGGUAGCCCGGCUCGGUCCGUGCCGCCGGCG
rnacentral:tRNA from 1 species